AAAGUGCAACACGGGAGUCCCGGGGAACGUGGGGCUGAGAGGGGCUCACGCCGAGCCCGACCGUCAUACCUGACCCGGAUCAUGCCGGCGCAGGAAGUGAGGUGGAGUUCAAU
rnacentral:ncRNA from 2 species